GCCAGUAUAGUUUAAUGGUAGAACACCGCCAUGGUAAGGCGGCGAUGUGAGUUCGAUUCUCACUACUGGCU
rnacentral:tRNA from 1 species